AGUGAACGCUGGCGGUAGGCCUAACACAUGCAAGUCGAACGGCAGCACAGUAAGAGCUUGCUCUUACGGGUGGCGAGUGGCGGACGGGUGAGGAAUACAUCGGAAUCUACUUUUUCGUGGGGGAUAACGUAGGGAAACUUACGCUAAUACCGCAUACGACCUACGGGUGAAAGCAGGGGAUCUUCGGACCUUGCGCGAAUGAAUGAGCCGAUGUCGGAUUAGCUAGUUGGCGGGGUAAAGGCCCACCAAGGCGACGAUCCGUAGCUGGUCUGAGAGGAUGAUCAGCCACACUGGAACUGAGACACGGUCCAGACUCCUACGGGAGGCAGCAGUGGGGAAUAUUGGACAAUGGGCGCAAGCCUGAUCCAGCCAUACCGCGUGGGUGAAGAAGGCCUUCGGGUUGUAAAGCCCUUUUGUUGGGAAAGAAAAGCAGCAGGUUAAUACCCCGCUGCUCUGACGGUACCCAAAGAAUAAGCACCGGCUAACUUCGUG
rnacentral:rRNA from 1 species